CGGCGAACGGGUGAGUAACACGUGGAUUAUCUGCCCUGAGGUGGGGGAUAACCCGGGGAAACUCGGGCUAAUACCGCAUAUGACCGUGAGGUCAAAGGGGGCUCGCAAGGGCUCUCGCCAUAGGAGGAGUCCGCGUCCGAUUAGCUAGUUGGUAGGGUAAUGGCCUACCAAGGCGACGAUCGGUAGCCGGCCUGAGAGGGUGAUCGGCCACACUGGAACUGAGACACGGUCCAG
rnacentral:rRNA from 1 species